rnacentral:rRNA from 5 species
CUCUCGGCAACGGAUAUCUAGGCUCUCGCAUCGAUGAAGAACGUAGCGAAAUGCGAUACUUGGUGUGAAUUGCAGAAUCCCGCGAAUCAUCGAGUUUUUGAACGCAAGUUGCGCCCGAAGCCACUCGGCCGAGGGCACGUCUGCCUGGGCGUCACGCACCGUUGCC